UUAAAAUUUCUUUCUUCCGUUUAACACCACCCACAGUUGACCUGUAGGUUCCUGCAUUGCUGGAACAGUGGAAUUAUUCAUUAUCGCUGGUCCAAGUUCUAUAAACAUAUGGAAAUACAAGAUUCUUCUAAUAAUGAGAACAUUCUUAAUGACCUUCCAGUUGUUUUGCUUCUUGGGCCACCAGUUAUAUUCAAAACGUAUGAGAGUCAGUUUUCUGAGAAAUUCCGCUUCCUGAAACCCUGGGAAUCUUUAAUGCCUCUCCACCAAUUCUUUUCUACUCAAGCAGGUUUUGUACAAGCUGUGUUCUGCUCUGGUUCACACUCAAUUACCUCUGAUAUCUUGCAGAGUCUACCUGAGCUUCAUUUUAUCAUGACCAGUAGUGCUGGUCUUGAUCAUAUUGACCUUCAUGAGUGCAGACGACGUGGGGUUAAAGUCUCUAAUGCUGGAACGAUUUUCUCAGAAGAUGUUGCUGAUUUGGCCGUGGGCUUGUUGGUUGAUGUCCUAAGAAAAAUUACUGCUGCUAAUCGGUUCGUUAAGGCUGGACUUUGGCACCAGAAUGGAGAUUACCCUCUUGGUCACAAGUUGGGUGGCCGGCGAGUUGGGAUUGUUGGAAUGGGAAGCAUUGGGCUUGAUGUUGCAAAGAGGCUAAACGCCUUAGGUUGCAUCAUCUCAUACACCUCUAGAAACAAAAAACCACAUGUUACAUUCCCUUUUUGUACCGAUAUUCACGAACUUGCAGCAAAUUGUGAGGUCCUGGUAAUCUGCUGUGCAUUAACGGACCAAACCCGUCACAUGAUUGACAGGAGUGUCAUGUUGGCGUUAGGAAAAGAUGGAAUCAUAGUAAACAUUGCACGAGGAGCAACCAUUAAUGAAAAGGAUUUGGUUGAGUGUUUGUUAAAAGGGGAGAUUGCUGGUGCUGGUUUGGAUGUUUUUGAAAAUGAGCCUGAUGUACCCGAAGAACUCUUUCGAUUAGAUAGUGUUGUCAUGACCCCUCAUCACGCGGUGAUGACAGCAGAGUCUAUGAGAGAUCUUUAUGAACUUGUGGUUGGGAAUUUGGAUGCUUUCUUUUCAAACAAACCAUUGAUGUUCCAGGUCGUGUAGGUGUGAAUGUAUCAAUUCAGGAAACAUAUCUGAUUUUGGAGACACUCAAGUAUUGUACAUUACUGCAGUAAGGUUCCUCAAAUUGGUUCUUCAUUCCUGCUUUCAGAGAUGCAGCUUUUGGUGAGUUGGUGCAUUAUGCUUGCGUAUAUAGAUAGGUAGAAGUCCCCUGGGUUAAAACGAGUCUAUGACUGGCUUGGUCAGGAUGUGUUCUUCAGUUUCUCCACCAUGGACCCUGGGACUGGGCCUGAAAGCAUCAAUAGCCGCAACUAUGAGGCUCAAGCCUCUGGCCUGUGGUCUGUCCUUUACACACUCUGGAGGUUCUUUUGUUUCCUGGUUGUUUGGCACUUGGCAGUGAUUACAACUGUGGGUUGGACUUACCUGCAGUUUUUUGUGGUUUUAGUUAGUCAUUAUGUGCAUUUUAAGCUUUAACUACUUCAAUGUGUCUAAAUAUGUAUUAUUGCUGUUUUUAAUUAUUAUUCACCAAUAAAAUCUUUGGCCCUUCAAAAAA